AUACAUGCAAGUCGAGCGAAUGGAUUGAGAGCUUGCUCUCAAGAAGUUAGCGGCGGACGGGUGAGUAACACGUGGGUAACCUGCCCAUAAGACUGGGAUAACUCCGGGAAACCGGGGCUAAUACCGGAUAACAUUUUGAACUGCAUGGUUCGAAAUUGAAAGGCGGCUUCGGCUGUCACUUAUGGAUGGACCCGCGUCGCAUUAGCUAGUUGGUGAGGUAACGGCUCACCAAGGCAACGAUGCGUAGCCGACCUGAGAGGGUGAUCGGCCACACUGGGACUGAGACACGGCCCAGACUCCUACGGGAGGCAGCAGUAGGGAAUCUUCCGCAAUGGACGAAAGUCUGACGGAGCAACGCCGCGUGAGUGAUGAAGGCUUUCGGGUCGUAAAACUCUGUUGUUAGGGAAGAACAAGUGCUAGUUGAAUAAGCUGGCACCUUGACGGUACCUAACCAGAAAGCCACGGCUAACUACGUGCCAGCAGCCGCGGUAAUACGUAGGUGGCAAGCGUUAUCCGGAAUUAUUGGGCGUAAAGCGCGCGCAGGUGGUUUCUUAAGUCUGAUGUGAAAGCCCACGGCUCAACCGUGGAGGGUCAUUGGAAACUGGG
rnacentral:rRNA from 1 species